GACGAACGCUGGCGGCGUGCUUAACACAUGCAAGUCGAACGGAAAGGCCCUGCGUUUGUGGGGUGCUCGAGUGGCGAACGGGUGAGUAACACGUGAGUAACCUGCCCUUGACUUUGGGAUAACUUCAGGAAACUGGGGCUAAUACCGGAUAGGAGCUCCUGCUGCAUGGUGGGGGUUGGAAAGUUUCGGCGGGUGGGGAUGGACGCGCGGCUUAUCAGCUUGUUGGUGGGGGAGUGGCUUACCAAGGCUUUGACCGGUAGCCGGCAUGAGAGGGUGACCGGCCACAUUGGGACUGAGAUACGGCCCAGACUCCUACGGGAGGCAGCAGUGGGGAAUAUUGCACAAUGGGCGGAAGCCUGAGGCAGCAACGCCGCGUGCGGGAUGACGGCCUUCGGGUUGUAAACCGCUUUCGCCUGUGACGAAGCGUGAGUGACGGUAAUGGGUAAAGAAGCACCGGCUAACUACGUG
rnacentral:rRNA from 1 species